rnacentral:rRNA from 1 species
GUACACUCCUACGGGAGGCAGCAGUGGGGAAUAUUGGACAAUGGGCGCAAGCCUGAUCCAGCCAUGCCGCGUGAGUGAUGAAGGCCCUAGGGUUGUAAAGCUCUUUCACCGGUGAAGAUAAUGACGGUAACCGGAGAAGAAGCCCCGGCUAACUUCGUGCCAGCAGCCGCGGUAAUACGAAGGGGGCUAGCGUUGUUCGGAUUUACUGGGCGUAAAGCGCACGUAGGCGGACUAUUAAGUCAGGGGUGAAAUCCCGGGGCUCAACCCCGGAACUGCCUUUGAUACUGGUAGUCUUGAGUUCGAGAGAGGUGAGUGGAAUUCCGAGUGUAGAGGUGAAAUUCGUAGAUAUUCGGAGGAACACCAGUGGCGAAGGCGGCUCACUGGCUCGAUACUGACGCUGAGGUGCGAAAGCGUGGGGAGCAAACAGGAUUAGAAACCCUUGUAGUCCC